rnacentral:misc_RNA from 1 species
ACUUUGCUAAACAAAAAACAGGAAGAAUACAGUAUGGUGUAGCUUUACUCCCACAGACUAAUUAUAAGGGCCUAGUAUGGAAAACAGUGAGAUUUUUCUGGGAGAUAAAAACAAACAACUGGAGUUUUUGAAGAGCGUUUGGAAAAAAACGGAUACUUCUACGACGAAAACAACAAGUGCCCUUGAUAAUUCAGACAGGCCAAAUAUAGACCCCAAUGACAAAGAAAAAACAACACCUCGGAAACCAAGCCACCAAAGGCCAUACUCUCCGGAGUUUUUCGACCAAUCAGACGACUCCGAGGACGACUGGAGUUCAUACAGUUUCAACACUCACCCAGUCCGGAAACGAGCACCUGCUGAUGACGAAAAGGAUGACGUCAUUCACAACAACUUUUAUGACAAGGAAUCCAAACGAGAUCCCAAACAGGCGUUGAUGUUUAGGACUAACAAGGCGACGAAGACACUAUUUAUAUUGGAUUCUGGGUCAUCAUCUCGGUAUCAGGGGGAAUUUAAUGAGGAAGGACAGCUUCAAGAUGAGGAGGUUGUAAGCAACUCAUCUGUUGCCAAUGACUCCAUCUCUUCCACUUCCGGCGCAGGCGGAAUGAAGGAUGACGAUUUCUCUGACGAAGCAGAGGACUUCGUUGACAACAAGGAAUCACGUGUCACCACCACCCACACUCACUCCCACGAUCACUCCCACGCGCACUCCCACUGCCCCCACAUCCACACCCACUGUCACAACAAGUACCAUAGACACUACCACACGCACGGCGGUUACCAUGACGACGAAGAUGAGGAUGUGAAUGAAAAGUACCCGUUUGAUUACUGCUCAGAGGAAAGGGAACCCACUAAACGCCGAACAUCGUCGAACCAGAACGUCACGUACCAUGGAACUGAUUUUUACCCCCCUUGUGUUUAUGGCUACCCAGAAGGAUGCGGGCAAUGCAAAAACUGUAAGUCCGGAAAAAUGAUGACAACAAUGGAACAGUUAGCAGACAGUAUCGACUGCGAGAUUCAUGACGUAGUUCCGGACGGCAACUGUCUCUUCCGGUCCGUUGUUGAUCAGCUUAGGAUGAACGGAGAGUUUUAUUGGACAGCAAACACACUACGUCAUAAGGCGGUGGAAUACCUACGUCAUAAUCCCACUCACGAAGACGGAACUCACCUGGCGAUGUUUUUGUCGAAUGAGGCUUGGGAUGAAUAUCUAGCUAGGAUGUCUCGGGACAAGGAGUGGGGCGAUCAACUUAUUCUUCGUGGGUUGAGCAGCGUCAUUGGUCGCAGGAUCAACAUUAUAACUGCAAUAGGUAGCGGCCAUAACCAGACUACGAUAGAGCCUGUUACUCAGAGCAAUGACGUCACAAAGAAGGAACCCCUACAGUUGGGUCACUUUGAUGAACAGCAUUACGUCAGUCUCCGGAAGAAAAACUGGUCCGACCUCUGGUUUGAGAAUGGACGUAAAGAGAACUGUGUUGCAGAUCUCGAACAUUUUGAAGGUUCCAACCUGCAAUAUUACCUUGAAAACACACAGGACCACGUAACCUCCGUGCCAUUUAGUCACCUACAUUUUCUCAUAAAGAAAACGAUCCCCCUCGCCUCUUUGUUGGAAAAACUUUCAUCCACUGAAACAACAGCAUCUAUCGAAAAUGUUGGCAACAUUGCAGAAGGACUGGAAUGCGACUUUUUUUCAUUGCUACAAAUAUCCUACAACAAGUCUAGAAAACCGUAUCGAAAUCUGGGGGUCACUGGAAUAGGUUUUGUAGAAGAGCACAUGGUAUUUAACAAUAUGAACGACGUAUGCGAAGCAGAAAAUCAGUUUUUGCUCGAGUUUGAUGAUCUAGACUCUUCUCCAUGGGUUAAAUUGGUUGUCAUCAAACCGUCAACUAUGACACUCCGAUACACUGAGAUAAGAAACGGAACUGCUUAUUUAUCUGCCGACUAUAUACCUACCAGAAAGGACAAUGCCAGAAAAAGUAAAUUGGUAUACGGAAUAGAGUGCAUAAAGUGGCCCACACACAUCGUCGAUUCUUGGUUAUCCAUAAAAAAGCUCGCCGGGUGGCCCAACGAAGAAUUGUUAUCGGAAGUAAUUAAAGAGAAAUGCAUAGUAGUUCCGAAUACCAAACAUGAUACUUUAUCAUGGAGACUGAAUUUCAUGCUUCCCAUCCGGGCAUUAAUCAAGCGUGGUACCAACGCAGAUCAGCGCCAUUGCUACAAGAUAUUCAAAUUGUUAGUGGACAGUGUCAGCAAGGAAGACUUGAACUUACCAUCCUAUGCAGUCAAAACUAUUUUCCUUUAUGCUUUAGAGGAAAUCCCAUCUGCACUGGGAACAAAAUAAAGGCAUUUGUUUAUUGCACAUGUUAGACAUGUUACUGUCUUGCCUUCAUAAGAAGCACAUGUCAGACUAUUUCAUCACAAUUUGGAAUUUGCUGGAAGAUGUAAACGACGAUGAAUGCAAAACUCUUUAUUCAAGAUUAUCAGCAAUACGACAGUUUCCGAUCAUAGCAGUGGUACUAGCAUCAGAAGUUCACGGAUUGCCAGCAAGUACUGUUGCCGAACCACUUAUUGAACAUAUCCAAUCCAUUGAAAGAGGGCAUUAUGUAAUGGGGUCUGAAAAAGAUGUAUUCCUGCAAAUAUCCAUAGAAGCUGUGAAAAAUAAGCUUUGGUAUUACUGUUUCAAAGACUCUGUCCAAGAAUUUGUGGAAAUGUACGAAAACGCUCGCCUCUCCAACGACUACACGCCGUCGAUGGAGGAGUUCGCAAGCUCGUAUUUCCAGGAUAUACCAAACAGAAUAGUCUGGUGGUUUUACUUUUUCUUGGAUCAUUUCUAUCAAAAGAGAUCUCUCGUAGCUAACAUGGGGGCGUUUGGUGGCAGGACCAUUGGUUCUCUGUUGGGACCCAAUAGGAAGACAGGGGUUUUCGAUGAGGUUUUCGUGCCUCAUCAACUGUUGACAGAAUAUAAAGGGCGUAGUUCAUACGAACCGGACGUGACUUUCUUAUUGGAACUCACUCAAAAUCUCAGUUUUUCUGGAGAAUACAACCACAGUGCCCACUAUCAAAUGGAACUUGUGCGCUUCCUAAAAGAAAAACUGAAAUCAUGUUCUGAAGCGGAAGGCUUUCCAAACACAAUACAAGGCAGCCAUCAAGCAAAUUACCAAGGUCAAAUUAUGUCACUGCAGUAUUAUAUGCUAUUGAUGACUGUAUUACAGCAACUUUUCAGGUCUCUCAAGAAUUUGAAGUCUGUUGAACUUUUUUCCGAGUACAUUGAGGAUGCUGAGAACGCAUGCGCAAUCAUUGGGAAGCCAGACAAUUAUUAUUACCUUGCUCAGUUCUACAAGGAGCUGGGAUGCACAGAAAAAUAUCGCGAAGCCAUCAGUGUUUACAAUAACAGUUACACAGAUUGAUAUAGAGACGUUUUCAAUGAAAAACCAAAUGGAACGCUUCAUUCUUUCAUCUAGUAACUACGAAAUAUUUUGUUUAAAAUUUAAUACCACUUAAGAUGGUAUGGGACACCUGUCGAUAAAAGGACAUUAAAGACUUUUACCGGCUUAGAAUUAUUAAAUUUUUCAAUAUUUGACCAAAAAUAUGUUUUGAAAAUGUUUGGAAAGUUAAAAAAUAUAAAAGCCCUAGCGGAAUCGAUUCGAACUCAUGGCUUACAUAUUCGUAGUUCUAUUUCCCUCCGCUGUCAGACAACAAUUUGUGGAAAGAAAUUAUAAAAUAGUACUUGAUUUUAUUGUUUAUUUUGAUAGAAAUUCGUCACAAUAUGGAGGUGUCCCACUCAACUUUAAAGCUCAUUUAAGGCAAAAUCAACACGCUUUUUUCUUAUGGUAAUUUAUCUUAUAUAAACCAUUAUGAUUCUUUGUCAUUUUUAAACGAU